UGCCAAGACGGGUUUCUGAAAUAGCUAGGAAUUCUCUGCUUAAAAAUCUGCUGCAAAGCGCCAUGGGGCUGAAAGCAUGACCUUGAGUGAGUGUCAGCAGGAUCGAUGGCAUUCGGAGCUUUGAGAAGUUAGAACACAUCAACAUGAUCCUUCCCUUUGCAAGCACUUGGACCUGCAGAUAGAAUAAGAUCCUGCUCGACUUGUUGAGUUCCUUCGGAAGAUUUUGUUUUGCUCCAGCUUCCAGCAUCUGCCAUCUCUUGUGUCACCAUCAACUUUCAUGUCACCUGCGAAUUGCUAAUUAUACUCCCUACUUUCAAAUCCAAGCUGUUAUCACAAACAACCAAGGACCCAACACCACUCCCCGUGAUACACCCACAGGUCACGCAUUGGGAGAAGCAUCCUUUCCCACUCCUCUCUGCCUGCUAUCACCAGGCCAAUUCUGAACCCAGUUGACCAACUUGUCUUGGAUCCCAUAUGCCUUAACCUUAGCCAAUCGCCCAUGGGGACCUUGCCAAAUGUCUUACAAUGUCCAUAACGUUUAUCCCCUUGUCUUAUUCAAUCUUCUUAGUUACCUCCUAUUAAUACUUGGUCAAAAUAGUGAAGCAGGAGCUUCUUCACAAAAAACGAUACUGACUAUCCCUGAGCAGCCCUAACCUUUCCAUAUGUACAUGAACCUUACCCAUUUGCAUUUUCUCCAAUAAUUCCCCACUGACAUAAGGUACAGUAUAUUUGGAAGAUUAAUUCUAUUAAGAAGGUGAUACUAUAAAACCAUAAGACAUAGGAGCAGAAUUAGGCCAUUCAGCCCAUUGAUUCUGCUCCAUCAUGGCUGAUUUAUUAUCCUCUAAACUCCACUCUUCUGACCUCUCCCCAUAACUUUUGAUACACUAACUAAUCACAAUCCUAUUAAACUCUGCUGUAAAUAUGACUUGGCCACCACAGCUGUCCGUGGCAAUAAAUUCAAAAGAUUUGCCACCCUCUGGCUAAAUAAAUUCUUCAUCAUCUCUGUUCUAAGGGGAUAUCAUUCUAUUCUGAGGUUGUGCUCUCUGGUCCUAGAUUCCCCCACAAUAGGAAAUAUCCUCUAUGUUCACUCUAUCUAGGCCUUUCAAUAUUCGAUAGAUUUCAAUGAAAUAUUCCUUUAUUUUUCUAAACUCCAGUGAGCACAGGCCAAGAGCCAUUAAAUGCCCAUCAUAUAUUAACCCUUUCAUUCCCAGGAUCAUUCCUGUGAACCUCCUAUGGAUCGUCUCCAAAACCAACAUGUUCCUUCUUAGAUAACGGGCCCAAAUUUGAUCACAAUUCGGUGCAAUCUGACAAAUGCCUUAUAAAGCCUUAGCAUUAUAUCCUUGUUUUGGUCUUCUAGUCCUUCUGAAGUGGAUGCUAAUAUUGCACUUGCAUUCCUUACCACUGACUGAACCUGCAAGUUAGCCAUAAGGGAAUUCUGCACAAGGACUUUUGCACAUCUGAUUUUUGUUUAGAAGAUAGUCUAUGCCUUUAUUCUUUCUACCAAAUUGCACGACCAUACAUUUCCCUACACUGUAUUCCAUCUACCACUUCUUUUCUCAUUCUCCUAUUCUGUCUAAGUCCUUCUGCGGACUUCUUGUUUCCUCAACUCGACUCACCCCUCCACCUAUCAUUGUAUGGUCUGCAAACUUGGCCACAAAGCCAUCAAUUCCGUCAUCCAAAUCACUGACAUAUAGCGUAAAAAGAAGUGGUCCAGACACCGACUGCUGUGGAACACCACUAAUUACUGGCAGCCAACCAGAAAAGGCCCUCUUUAUUCUCACUCUUUGCCUCCUGCCAGUCAGCCAAUCUUCUAUCUGUGCUAGUAUCUUUUCUGUAACAGGAAACGUGGUAACACUGUUACUCAAGCCUAUCUUUGCUGUAGCUGAGUGGUGUCUGAGAUGUAAAUUUUUUAGGUGAAUUUUUGUUAAAUCUCUUCUACAAGUGUUCCAAUAAAGCAGCUGAAAUAUGGACUUCAGAAAGUUCCUAUAGGCACUAUAAACUCAGUUAUAAACAUAUAUAAACAAUUCAUGUUGGCACC